UACAGAGGGUGCGAGCGUUAAUCGGAAUUACUGGGCGUAAAGCGUGCGUAGACGGCUAUCUAAGUCGGGUGUGAAAGCCCCGGGCUCAACCUGGGAAUUGCAUUCGAGACUGAAUAGCUAGGGUGCGGUAGGAGGGAAGCGGAAUUUCCGGUGUAGCGGUGAAAUGCGUAGAUAAUCGGAAGGAACAUCAGUGGCGAAAGCGGCUUCCUGGACCAGCACCGACGUCAGGCACGAAAGCGUGGGGAGCAAACAGGAUAGAAACCCCGG
rnacentral:rRNA from 1 species